AUCCAGCCGACGAGUCCCAAAUAGAACUAAACGCGCGUUCUGGAU
rnacentral:hammerhead_ribozyme from 1 species